rnacentral:rRNA from 1 species
UACGGAAGGCAGCAGGUGGGGAAUAUUGCACAAUGGGCGCAAGCCUGAUGCAGCCAUGCCGCGUGUAUGAAGAAGGCCUUCGGGUUGUAAAGUACUUUCAGUCGUGAGGAAGGUGUUAAGGUUAAUAACCUUAGCAAUUGACGUUAGCGACAGAAGAAGCACCGGCUAACUCCGUGCCAGCAGCCGCGGUAAUACGGAGGGUGCGAGCGUUAAUCGGAAUUACUGGGCGUAAAGGGCACGCAGGCGGUUAAUUAAGUUGGAUGUGAAAUCCCCGGGCUUAACCUGGGAAUGGCAUUCAAGACUGGUUAGCUAGAGUCUUGUAGAGGGGGUAGAAUUCCAUGUGUAGCGGUGAAAUGCGUAGAGAUGUGGAGGAAUACCGGUGGCGAAGGCGGCCCCUGGACAAAGACUGACGCUCAUGUGCGAAAGCGUGGGGAGCAAAC